AUGAAAAAGUCGAACAAAGAAGAAGAUGAAAAAACUGAAGCAGAUCCAACGAAAUCCGCUCGGCUCAGACGAACCUUCGACGAAUCCGCCGGCAGCCACACACCUCGCGCAACACCACUGCUUUGCAACUACGAACUAACCCUUCAACCUUCGCUCUCUCGGAUGCAUCACGCUCUCCGUCGCAACACAUUUGCGACCAGCUUUCCGAUCACCGCCCUCAGAUAG